GCCUUGGUGGUGAAGUGGUCAUCACGCUCGACGCAUAUUGGAGAGGUCCCUGGUUCGAGUCCUGACGAAGGUA
rnacentral:tRNA from 1 species